GUGGGUACAGCUCAGUGGUAGAGCGUGUGCUUCGCAUGCAUGAGGUCCUGGGUUCAAUCUCCAGUACCCACA
rnacentral:tRNA from 1 species